UUUUUUAGUAUUUGUUUAGGAUUUAUUUAGGAUUUGGUUAAGAUUUGUUUAGGAUUUAUUUAGGAUUUGUUUAGGAUUUGGCUAAGAUUUUUUUAGAAUUGUUUUAGAAUUUGGUUAGGAUUUGGUUAAGAUUUGUUUAGAGUUUAUUUAGGAUUUACUUAGGAUUUGAAUAGGAUUUUUUUAGGAUUUGUUUUGGAUUUGAUUAGAAUUUGGUUAGGAUUUAUUUAGGAUUUGACUAGGAUUUGAUUAAGGUUUGUUUAGAGUUUGAUUAGAAUUUUAUUAGGAUUUUUUAUGAUUUGACUAGGAUUUAUUUAGGGUUUGAUUAAGAUUUGAAUAAGGUUUGAUUAAGAUUUGACCAAGGUUUGACUAAAGUUUGACUAAAUUUUGACUAAGAUUUAAUUA
rnacentral:lncRNA from 1 species